GGUUUUAUUCCGCAAACACUGUGUUCUAGACCUUUUGUAAUCCGGAUUUCUCUUUAUCUAUUCAGUAUUCAGUAUUUGUUCUUGAUUUUCGUUUCUUGUUGUUCAUCCGGUUAUCAUCUUGCUAUUACAGUGUUGUUAUCAUGUUUUCAUUCUGUUCAACGUUUAUGUUCUCUACAAUGAUGUCUAAGUAGUGAAUAGGUUUCUGAGGAUGGGUUAGAGUAAUGUAGAAUUCUCAAUAUGCCAGGUGGUUGAGUUUGAUUGAUAGAUCCUUUCUGGAUUAGUUGUUCUUAAUGCCUAUUGCUUUCUGAUCAACUAGAAUUUGAGCCCAGAUAUUUCCGCACCCGAAAGGUGUUCGAUGAAAUGUCUGAACCACUAAUUCUAGAGAUUCGUGGCCCUGUACCAAGGUAUUGGUUGCAGGGAGCGUUUUGGCUUUAACUUGUUGAUUCGUAAUGCCUGUUAGGUUGGCUCUCGUCAAUGGUGAUUGAGUCUGGGACUAGGUUAACUUGAGGGUCUCUGUUGCGGUGGCACUUAGAUUUGGUUAAUGAACUUGUUGUCUAGGGAUAAUUUGUUGAGCAUGUCAAUCACCUAUAAACUGACGAAACGAAACUACUCAAUUACCCCAUCCUCAGAAAUUCUUUAUCUGAUUGAAUUUAUUGUUUACUCUACUAUUGUUUACUACAUCUUGUCAUCUGUUGCUUAGUUUCUGCAAUUCUUUCUUGUUACUCGACAUGAUACUCAACCACCCAGUUGUCUGGCAACAGACUGUGCAGUCGAGUAUCUUUGUUUCAUUUACUGUCUGUUACUCGACCAGUCACUCGACCUCACCCAGUGCUCUGCAAAGAGCUGUGUUGGUCGAGUGUCUUACUCUUUCUGCUUGAUUUUCUGUUUUCUACAUGUUCACUCAGGACUGCUAGAACACACCAAAACCUGUUAUUGCUUUGCUUGACUUAGUGACUUCUGAUCACAUCUUGAUUGUUAGCAUCACACCCAUUUGGAUUGACAACCUAAAAUACUACAACGAUAUGAUUGGUGUUUUAGGAUAAUUGACUAAGAACUAUUAUCAAUUUGGCGUCUUUGCCAAUUGGGUGUUUGUUUGUUACAUUUGAGAUUUCAGACUUGCUUAGAUCAAGUUCUUUUUCAAUUUUCAAAACGGUUGCUAACUGUGUGCUUUUCUUGUUGUCUUUUUGAUCCAGGUACACCUCUAUUGUAUGCAAACUCGAUCAACAGGCAACCAGAACCUCCUUUUCAAUGACAACAUCGACUGCAUAGCUCACGAACUCAGAGAAAGGAGAAACACAGUCAACCUAAUACCACAACAACCACUCGAAAUGGCUGACGAACAUAAUCAACAAAAUGGCCCUGCCAACAUUGGUGCUAGAGAUGCACC
rnacentral:sRNA from 1 species